AGCAGCCGCGGUAAUUCCAGCUCCUAUAGCGUAUAUUAAAGUUGUUACAGUUAAAAAGCUCGUAGUUGAAUUUCGGGGUUAGUAGGUUGGUCAUGCCACUGGUAUGUACUGGUCUCACUGAUUCCUCCUUCCUGAUGAACCGUAAUGCCAUUAAUUUGGUGUUGCGGGGAGACUGGACUGUUACUUUGAAAAAAUUAGGGUGUUUAAAGCAGGCUAACGCUUGAAUACAUUAGCAUGGAAUAAUGAAAUAGGACGUUCGAUCCUAUUUUGUUGGUUUCUAGGAUUGACGUAAUGAUUAAUAGGGAUAGUUGGGGGCAUUAGUAUUCAAUUGUCAGAGGUGAAAUUCUUGGAUUUAUUGAAGACUAACUACUGCGAAAGCAUUUGCCAAGGAUGUUUUCAUUAAUCAAGAACGAAAGUUAGGGGAUCGAAGACGAUCAGAUACCGUCGUAGUCUUAACCAUAAACUAUGCCGGCUAGGGAUCGGAUGAUGUUAAUUUUUAAUGACUCAUUCGGCGCCUUAC
rnacentral:rRNA from 1 species